UCAGUUCAGAUUGUAGGCUGCAACUCGCCUACAUGAAGUCGGAAUUGCUAGUAAUCGCGGAUCAGCAUGCCGCGGUGAAUACGUUCCCGGGCCUUGUACACACCGCCCGUCACACCAUGAGAGUUGGGGAUACCCGAAGCCUGUGAGCUAACUUUUAGAGGCAGCAGUCGAAGGUAGAAUCAAUGAUUGGGGUGAAGUCGUAACAAGGUAAC
rnacentral:rRNA from 1 species